GGAUGCGAUCAUACCAGCACUAAUGCACCGGAUCCCAUCAGAACUCCGCAGUUAAGCGUGCUUGGGCGGAGUAGUACUAG